GACGAACCGUGCGAACGUUAUUCGGAAUCACUGGGCUUAAAGCGCGUGUAGGCGGAUGGGAACGUCGGUAGUUGAAAGCCCCCCGGCUCAACCGGGGAAGUGGUGCCGAAACGACCCGUCUGGAGGGACGUAGGGGGACCUGGAACUUCCGGUGGAGCGGUGAAAUGCGUUGAGAUCGGAAGGAACGCCCGUGGCGAAAGCGAGGUCCUGGACGUCUACUGACGCGUGA
rnacentral:rRNA from 1 species